CUAGCUUUAACAUUUAUUCCAACCCCACUUUAAUACCCAUUUUAUUUUAAAUUCCAGCCCACUUUCAUACUACUAUACCAAUUUCCAGCAAACAAGCAGCAGUGUACAGCACUACCAAAAAUCAACCCACCCGACCCGCACAAUCUUUGUCCUCUCUCGCGACUGAAACUCAGAGGAAACCCAUAAAUCCCAGCAGUCACGUGAUGCACCCUCUCAUCUCUCUUCGUACGAAGACCUUUGGAGAGCAUGAGAUGUCAAAAUCUGGUGCCUCGAUCGUCCUUCACUCAAAAUCAACACCUCACCAUUCAAAUUUGUACAUCAUCGAAUGGGAAAUCUCUAUCUUCUAAGGGAUUUUGAAAAUUUUUAAAUAACCCACAUCGUCUCUUCUUAGAUUUUUGGAAUUUUUGGGUUUAUAUAUAUAAACUCACUUCAUUCCCUUUUUUAAAGGAAGAUUUGGUAGGGAGACCAAUAAGUACCUAUAAAAUUUUAGGAAUUCUUGGUUCCAUAGUUAAAAUUUUUAAAGUGUUUUGUGGUUUUUCGAGUUGAAGACGUGGAAUCGUCUUCUUAAAAGUCGUAGUUCCGGUUCGGUGCCUAGAACCAGGUAAAUUAAUUCUUAGAUUCAUUUUUUAUUAAAUUCCCAGCUCUUGUAUGCUCUUUGUUUAUUAUAUGUGCUUAGUUUUGUUUUAGUAGUCAUAUGUUAGACUUCGAUUUGACCUUUUAGUAGUUAAUAAUGUUUAUUUUGUUCCUACUAUUUUAUUUAUUUUUGUAUAGCUAAAAAUUUCCUAGAUCCUUUGGUGUUUUGUUCAUAUUUAUGGUCUGAUUUGGUAUUAAAUAUUAAUGUUCAUUUUGGCCCUAACCCUUUGCUUGUUCCUAUAAUGAUAAGAAUUCAAUUAUGUAUUUACACAAUUGAUUUAUAUAAAUAUUGAAUGUUAGUUCAAUUUCUCCAUUAAGGGUUGUUGCUUUGAUUUUGAAAAUGGCAUGAGUUGUUCGUUUGUCUUUUCACUUUUUUUUCGAGAUAUUUUUAUAGUAGUCGCCCACUUUCAUAUCUUUGUUUCUUUAUGUUUCACUCAUGUGCUUCUUGACUAAAAUGUAGACUUCAUAGUUAGUAAUAAAAGAGGAUUCAUUAAGCUAAGUCUUUUCUUAAAUAUAUAUAUAUACAUAUACAUAUAUAUAUAUAUAUAUAUAUAUAUACACAUACACACAUCCGGUUAUAUUUUUUUGAAUAUAUGAAAUUGUCUUCGUUAUAAAAAUUCCAUUAACCGUAUUCCUAGAAUUUUCAUUAGUUUACUGUUAAUAUUCAAGCUUCCCUUUAAAAUACUAGUUGCUUAUGUUACCAAGGAUCUAUAUUUGAAUUGAUAUUUAUUUGUAUUUUCUGUUAUAUUACUGUAUAGGUUAAGAUGUUUUACUCAUUACAUAGAGGUUUGUCUCUUCUUUUUUUGUAGUAUAUUUAAACUCUGUGAUUGAAUUUUAGAUAUCUGUUCCUAUCCGUAUUGUUGUGAUUAGAGUAAUGGAGAUUGUAGUUUCAGGUAAUGGGUAUUUGUUUUCUCGACUUUUAUUUAAGAUUUAGUUGGUUUUCUUUGCUUUCUAUCUCGUAAAGUUUUAAUUUUUAGUUAACUUAGUGUGUCAUUAUUUUAAGAAAAACAAUUUUCGUGAUGAUGUAGAAAACUACAAUAGAUUAAACACAAAAUGAAAAAAACAAUUAACUGGAAAUGCAUACAAAUAAAAGAGGAUUAAAACGAUGAAAAAAAUGGACAAGAAAUUUGGAGAAAGAAGAUCAAAAAAGAGGAAAGAAAAAUAUCAAUUUUUUCAAUAAUCGGGUUAAUUGUGAAUGGGAAAGAAGACUUUAUAAAACCCUAAUGUGGCUAUUAGACCCUUUUAACCACAUUUCACUCUCCUCAAGUGUGUAUAUCACACGCCCCUUGGUUGCAUCUGCCACAUAGGAGGUCAAGUCAGAAAACGUUUUUAAAAUAUUGAGUGUAGAUGGGUUCAGCGGUCCAGAUUACAAAUGUAUAAGUAGAAGAUUUCACACUACAAACUGACAUAAGUACAAGGGUUCACUAGACCCUUUUGCCAAAAUAAUAUAACUCCAUGUUUACACUUUUUUUCUUUUCUACUAAUUGGGAUGGUGUUUUCAUUAUAAAGUCACGUUUUCUUUGGUGAGAUUGAGAUUAUAUUAUAAUUUAAUCUUAUAUUAAUUAAUCAUUCUUAAGAAAUAUCAAUGUUUAAAUACUAAUCCUAGACUUUACGCUCUACACCGUACACGUUCUUUUUAUCAUGAAGUUUAGUUGAUUUUGUCUGACUUGAAUCAUCAUAGGUUGUUUUUUAAGUGAAGGAGAGAGACAUGACUUUCUAGAAAUUGAAUCAAUAUUCGCAAGGUAUUUCUCGUAUCCGUUGCAAGAGAAUACUCUCUAUGACACAUAUAUUAGACCCUAGCGCAAGAAUAUAUUGCUCUAGUCCCGUAACAAAGCAAAGAAGGAUUCAUGGGCAGAAGAAUUCAUGCUUCAAGAGAAUCCCUUUUUCACUUGGUUACGGGACUGGAUAAAUAUAUGUCUCAAAGAACCAUGAUGUUUCCCCUUUCAAACAAAAGUGCUAAAAUCAAAAUUGUGGGUCAUAUGCAAUAAUUCAUGCAUAAUCCUUAUUGACUGAUUUUUUCUAAUUUUAAAUCAGAAGUACUAAAAUCAAAAUUUUAAAUAUACACAAAUAAAAUGUAACAAAGUGAAUGGAUACCUAGUUCUAGUUUGAAUCAAAGGAGUCUCCAUGGAAAAAAUUAAAUAUAGAAUAAUUGUUAGCCCCUAUAUCGAGUUGUUCUAGAUCCAUUCUUUUGUUGUUGUAGUUGUUGGUGGAACACACACUACUGUUGUUGUUGAUGGAGGAAAAGAUGUUUGUUGGAUAAAUUAAGAUGGUUGAAUGGGAUGUAAUUACAACGGUUGAUUACCAUUUUGUUUCGGAUUAUGACUUGGUCAUCUUGUUUUUCCUAGUGAGCAGUUAUAAGAAUCAAUAGAGUAAAUUUUAGAUAAACCGUUAAAAUUAGUCAUGUCAGGAGCUAAAAUCAUCAAAAGAAUUCCAAACACAUUUAAAGAAGUCCAAGUAUAAAUUCGGAGCUACAACAUUGUCAGGUUUACUAAUAUUUUUACUUCUUACGACCGCACCUAUAUCCCAGUCAUGAUCAUUCAUUUUAAAUCUAUAUAAAAUGAUAUCUAGUUAAAUGUAAAAAAAAAAGAGCCUAUAAGAAAAGCUAAUGAUGUUUUCUACUGAACUAGAGAGAAAGAAAAAUGAUCCAAAGAGGGGUUUCCUAAUGGAGGAAGUAGAUUAUCAAAGAAACGUUUAGUGGGUAUGACAUUAUAAGGUUGAGAUGAGGAAAAGUGAAUUAAUUUUUAAAAUAUAAUGAUAAAAUUAAAAUAAGAAAAAAUAUUUAUUGGCAUUAACUGUAAAUUAAAUAUGGAUGCUACGGGAUAGGUAGAUAGCCCUUAAAUUUUAUCUAUAUAUUUUGAAAUGUGUUCACUUUUCUUAAUCUUAACCUUUAAUUUAUAAUGUCAUACCCACUAAAUGUUUCUUUGAUCAUCUACUUCUUCCAUUAGAAACCCCCCUCUUUGAAUCAUUUUCUCUCUCUCUCUAAUUUAGCAAAAAACAUUAUUAGUUUCUCUUAUCAGCUAAUUAUUAUUUUUUUACAUCUAAGUAGAUAUCAAUUUAUAUUGAUUUAAAAUGGGUGAUCAUGAUUGGGAUAAAAGUGUGGUUUUAAGAAGUUGUAAUAUUAAUAAACCUGACAAUGUUCUAGUUCCUAAGUUAUAUUUGGAGACUUCAUUAAAUGAUGUUUGAAAUUCUUUUGAUAAAAUUUUUGCUCGUGACAUGACUAAUUUUAAUGGUUUAUCAUUAUAUUCUCUUUAGAUUUUCAAAUUGCUCACCAGGAAAACCAGAUGAUCAAGUCAUUAUGAACCAAAAUGGUAACCAAUAGUUGUACUAAUAUGCUAUCCAACCAGCUCAAUUUAUCCAUCUAACAACAAUAACAACAAAAGAAUGGAUUGAUCUACAAAAACUCGAUAUAGGGGCUAACAAUUAUCGUAAUUUCACUUUUCCAUGAAGAAUCCUUUGGUUCAAACUAGAACAAGGAAACCAUUCCCUUAAUUACAUUUUAUGUGUGUAUGCUCAAAAUUUUGAUUUUACUACUUUUGAUUUGAAAUCAGGAAAAAUCAUUCAAUAAGGAUUACACAUGAAUUAUUGCAAGAGGAAAAUGAUGAGACUGAAUAUUAAAGUAUAACUGAAAAACUGGUCAAAUACAUUAGAUUCUGACUAUGGGAGCCAUUAAUAACCGACAGAACCACCACAUGAGUUAUCUAUGAUUUCAAAUGCACACACCACAUUGAAGGAACCGAUAUACCUUGCCAGGGGUAUUUAGGCGUUUAUAGUGUAAUCACUAAACCUAAUGCCCAUAGAGAGGACCUUAGCCUACGGGGGUAUGCAGUUCUGGGACUAUGAGGGUAUACAAAAAUCUGGUCCACUCGGUUCUAAGCGUACUUAAAACUGAAUAUGUAUAUCUAACACACAUAACUGAAACAUUGAAUAGCUCAAAUACUAACAUGAAAAUCUGAGAAUAUAACAAUGAUAAAAUGAUAAUGUAACAUACAAAAAACGAUGCAUGUAUAAUUUUUUAAUUGACCUAGCAUGUAUUAUUCAUAAACUAAAAGAAUCUACACAACUAGGUUAUGAGUUUCAUGCAAAAAAGUAAGCAAAGAUUCCACAAAAACAAGAUAAUUUAAUUAGGAAUACUCUAAUAACUAAAUCACAACUAAUAUCUAUGGUUUUACAAAUUUUAGGUUUAAGCAACAUACAUAAAUCAAGAAUCUAACUUAAUUCUAGGGACCUAAUCGGUGAAAGGAACCCACUAGUCAAAUCGCAUUACUUGGUGAAGAAAUCCUUCAAUUUUAAGGCAAAAACUGAAGAAAACGUGUUUCAUUCUUGGAAGGGUUUUGGUCUCCUAUUUCCUCCACUUUUUUUUUUCAAAGUUUGAUGAAUUUUUCUUAAUAGGUGUCUUUUGCCUCAUAAAUUACACUUAAUGUGUAAUAUAAGGAGUAUCGUGGAAAUAUUGUAGAAUAUUAUUAUGUAUAAAAAUAAUAUAUAUCCAUGUUUACUAUUUUUUCUUUUAUAUUUGACAUGAUGUUUUCAUUACAUAGCUAUUCUUUCUUUAGUUAGAUUCAGAUAAGACAACAAUUCAAUAUAUAUUAAUAUAAUCAUUCUUAAGCUAUAUCAACGUUUAAAUACUAAGCGUAGACUUUAGUCUCUGCAACUUACAUGCUCUUUUUAUUAUGAAAUUUAGUUAUUUUUUUUCUACAUGAAUCAUCAAAGGUUGUGUUUUAAGUAAAGGAGAGAGACAUGACUUUCUAGGAAUUGAAUCCAUAGGCUCAAGGGCAUGCCCUCUAUCUGCUGGAAGAGAAUACACACUUUUGAACAUAUAUUAUACCCUAGUGCAAGAAAGAUUCCCUCUAGUCCCGUAACAAAUCAAAGGUGAAUUUCUGUACAGAAGAAUCUAUGCUUUAAGAGGAUCCCCUUUUUUCGCUUGGUUAAGAGACUAGAGCAAUAUAUGUGUCAAUGAGGGGAUUCUUUUGUUGCCGUUACGGGGGUAUGCCCCUGAGCCAAUUGAACCAAUUCCUACUUAGUCAUGUCUCUUUCUUUACAUAAAUCACAAUCCAUGAUGAUUCAAGUCACAAAAAAUAACUUAAAUGUAUGAUAAAAAGAAUGUAGGUUGUAGAGCCUAAAGUUUAGGAUUUGUAACGACCCGUUUAGUCAUUUUGAGCAACAGACUUCAAUUCUGGAAAAAAUGGCAGAAGCGAUGGACCCCACGACGGAUCACCAUGGGCACGACGGACCGUCGAGGGGGUCUCGUCCCAAAACACUUAGAAAAUCUGAAAUUGGGUACUGAAAAUCAACUCUCUGAACUUUGUGACGGAAUGGCAGGACGGACCGUCACGGGUGUGACGGACCGUCGUGAUCCAACGUUUCAAAACACUUAGAAAAUCUGAAAUUGGGUACUGAAAAUCAACUCUCAGAACUUUGUGACGGAAUGGCAGGACGAACCGUCAUAAGUGUGACGGACCGUCACAGACCUUUGGUGAAAAUUUGGGUCUCUAAACUCUGCGACGACCUGCAGGACGGACCGUCGUAGGCACGACGGCCCGUCACAGGUUGCGCAAAUCCCAGGCAGAGUCGGAUUUCUGGUGAUGUUUUAAGGGACGUUUUUGGACUAUUCUUUCCUUAAUUAUAGAUUUCGUGGGUUUAUAUUAAUAACUCAAAUUCUUGAGGGUUAAAAGAGGCAACCCUAAGUUAAUUAGUGGGGUAUUAUUGCCACCUUUUAUUCUUAAUUAUAUACUAAUUAGGGUAAAAGAAAGAGGGUUGAAUAAGAAAAAUAGAAAGAACAAAGAGAGACAGAAAAAGAAAGAGAAACGAACGAGAAAGAGGAGAAACGAGAAGAACAACAAAAGCUUGGAAACUUGCUUGUUUUAUUUCAAUUUUUCGGUGGAGGUAGGUUAUGGUUUUCAUGCUAUUCGUAGUAAACUCUUAAUAGCGAAUGAUGUGUGUUAGUAGUAUUGUAAACCCUUCUAUAUGCUUAAUGAUAUGCUUGCAUGAAUGAUGUGAUUAUGUAAUUAUGAAUAAAUAAGCAUGAUGAAGCUAUCGAAUUCCAAAUCUUGAAAAGCAACCCUAAUCUACUUUGUUAAUGAUGAUGCAUUGGUAUAAAAGAAGGCUUGACGAAUGAAAGUAGUGAGAUUAGGGGAUCGAGUGUCACGUUCCGACACCAGGAUAGAAUAUAUGGAUCAGGUGUCACGUUCCGACACCAGGAUAGAAUAUGGAUUAGGUGUCACGUUCCGACACCAGGAUAGAAUAUGGAUCGGGUGCCACGUUCCGGUACCAGGAUAGAAUAUAUGGAUCGGGUGCCACGUUCCGGUACCAGGAUAGAAUGAGGAUCGGAGUGUCACGUUCCGACACCAGGAUAGUAUAUUGAGGAGCGGAGUGUCACGUGCCGACACGAGGGGAAUAAAGAUAAUGAAUCUUGAAAAAUGUUAAUGUAUCCAAUCUAAUGAACUGAAUUCCCAAAUGAGUAUGAUGAGGAGGCGUGAGUCCUCAUUGAUGUGCUUGGUGUUGUAACCAAGGGUUAUGGUAACUGUAAAUGCUGCAUGCUAAGGAUAUUAGUUGAUUUUAUGAUAUUGAUUAAUACAUACUCUUUUCUAUUUUGAGUUGGCCGAUGAUAUCUACUCAGUACCCGUGUUUUGUACUGACCCCUACUUUUAUUAUUUUCUUUUUGUUUAUUGUGGAGUGCAGCAAACGUGCCGUCGUCUUUGACUCAACAGUAAUUCAAGCCAGUCUUACUACAUCGGAAAUUCAGGGUGAGCUAAUGCUUCUAGCUUGGACUGGAUCUUCUUCUUCAAGUCUCGAUGCCUUGAACUUCCGGCAUGGACUAGCUUCUUAUGUAUUUUUAGCUUCUUAGAAUACUCUUAGUUUAGUAAUUUGAUUAUAGAUGUUCUUGUGAUGAUGACUUCCAGGUUUUGGGAAUAAUAGAUGUUGAAUAUUGAUAGUUAUUGAAUUGGUUUUUAUUAAUGAUUUUAAGUCUUCCGCAUUACUUUCUGUUGCUAUUACAUUGAAAUGUUAAGGUUUAGAUUGGUUGGUUCGCUCACAUAGGAGGGUAAGAGUGGGUGCCAGUCGCGGCCCGGAUUUGGGUCGUGACAGGAUUAGUACUGAUGUAGCUUAAGAAUGAUUAUUUUGUAACUAAAUAUUGGAUUGUUGUCUCCAAGGUCAAUAAAAUGGUAUAAUUAAAACACAGUCUCAAUUAGAAAAGCAAAAAUGAGUAAACAAAAAAAUGUUAGAUUAUUUAUGUAGAGUAAAAAAUUAAAGUUAAAUUUUUAGCAAAAUGAUUUUGUGUUGGUUAAUUAGGUAGGUAUUUUUUAUUACUUUUUAAUGAAAUUUCCAUAGUUAUAUGAUUUUAGUGGGAAUAUAAUAAUUAUAUGACUAUUUAUGAAAUUAACCACAUCUUUAUUUUUUUGAGGUAUGUAUUGAUCUUAAAGUUGCCGUUUAUCCUUUAUGAGCUAUUGGUCUAAGAGUAUAUUAGUCUACUAGAAUAUAGGGAAUUCCAUUGGAUGAAAUAUCAUAGUUGAAUAAUAAGAUUUCAUGAUAAUAUUAUUUAGCUAUAGAUUAGUUCAAACAAAAAAUUCAAGAAUUUGUAAGGAGUAUUUAAUCAUGAAUUAGUUAGCGAUUACAAUUAAUUCCAUAGCUAUUUAAUGUUUUUAGUUGUAUCGAUCACUAAAUUAAUGAUCUCUAUCUGGUUCUUUCUAAAAAUAAGUUCUGAAGGCAUUUUAUCUUAGUAAAACGAAGAAAUAAUAAGAUUAACCAAUUUUAUUCAUAAGUCUUUAUGUGUAUUGAUGGGACAGGUACCACGCCCCAAGGCCUAUACCCCUUGGCAUAAACACGAGCCCUAGGAUAACGAGUGACCCUAAGCUAACCUUGAACAGACAUAUUUUAAGCAUACUAAGACAACUGAAUAAAAGAUACUAUGCAGAAGCUUAUAUCAUGAGAUAAUUGGAAGAUGGGAAAUACCCAAUACUUAUCUGAAUAUAUAUUGAAAUUCUAAGGGUUAAAUGCUAAAUCUAAAUCUAAAUCUUAAACUAUGUUUUAAAAAGUCUCUAACUAAAUAGAGUUGUUGGGACAUGACAUCAUAACAACUAAUAAAAAAAUAAACAUGUCCAUUGUCAUCAAUGUAUGAGGACUCACCACUAAUGUUGUUGAGUAUGGAUUGAGAAUUGAUCUAUUCAUGAUUUCAAUGCUAAGAACCUUAACCUACAUCAUGAAUAUAAUUCAAUCUUAUAUUAAUAUAAUCAUUUUCAAGCUACAUUAAUGUUUAAAUACUAAUCCUAGACUUAAUGCUAUACACCCUACAUGGUCUUUUUAUCAUUAGUUUAGUUAUUUUUUGUCUAACUUGAAUCAUCAAAGGUUGUGUUUUAUGUGAAGGAGAGAGAGAUGAGUUUCUAGUCCAUAGUGCACGAGAAACUUCUCUCUAGUCCCGUAACAAAUAAAAGAUGGAUUUAUGGACGAUAGAAUUCAUGCUUCAAGAGAAUCCCUUUUUUCGCUUGGUUACGUGACUAGAUUAAUAUAUUUGUCAAAUAGCGGAUUUUCUUCCAGCGGAUACGGAGCGUACCCCUGAGGUUAUUGAUCCAAUUCCUAGUAAGUCAUGUGUCUCUCUUUCACAUAAGUUAGAAUUAAUUAUGAUUCAAGUAAGAUAAAAAUAACCUAAAUUCAUGAUAAAAAGAACAUGCAGUGUGUAGAGCAUAGAGUUUAGGAUUAGUAUUUAAAUAUUUACGUAGAUUAAGAAUGGUUAUAUUGCACUAUAAGAUUAGAUUGCAGUCUCUAAGCUCAAUUUAUGAUAUAUUGAAAACAGUCUCAAGUAGACAAGCAAAAAUGAGUAAAAAAAAAGUGAGAUUAUUUAUGUACAGUGAAAAAUUAAAGUUGAAUUUUUCGUCUACAUGACUUUGUGUAAGUUAAUUAGGUAGGCAUUUUCUGAUUAUUUUUUCACGAAAUUUCCAUUGUUACAUGAUCUUAGUGGGAAGGUCAUAAUUAUAUGAAAAUUUAUGAAAUUAACCACAUCUUUGUUUUUUUAGAGUAUAUAUUGAUCUUAAAGUAUUCGUUCAUCCUUGAUGAGAUAUAGGUCUAAGAGUAUAUUAACCUACUAGAAAAUAAGGAAUUAAGAUGGAUAAAAUUUCAUAGCUGAACAAUAAAAUUUCAUGCUAAUUUUUUUUAGCUAUGGAUUAGCGUAAAAAAAUAAAAGAAAAUUCAUGAAUUAGCAAGGAGGUUCUUAGUGAUGGAUUAGUUAGGAUUACUAACAAAUCCCAUAGCUAAUUCAAUACUUUUAGUAGUAUCUAUCACUAAAUUAAUGAUCUCUUUUUGGUUCUUUCUAAUUUACCAAUUUUACUAAUGAAUCUUUGUGUGUAUUGAUGGAAAAGUGACACACGUUGCGGCUAUCCCCUUGGUUUAAACACGGAAUCUACGAUCACGAGUGAACCCAAACUAACCCUUAGCAGGUUUAUCAUAAGCAUACUAUAAAUACUGAACACAUGAUACUAUUCAACAACUUAAAUUAUGAGAUAACUGAAAGAUGGGAAAUACCCAUACAAAUCUGAAUAUAUAAUAAACUUCUAAAUGUUAAGUGAUACUAAACAAUCCUUCUAAUGAUAAAGGUGAAUAUAAAACAAUAUCAAUGAAAGUCUCUAACUAACUCGAUUUGUUGGGACAUGUCCCAGGUAAAACUUAAACUGAAAUAAAGACUGAAAUGGAAAACAUGUCUAUUGUCCUCAAAGUGUGAAGACUCAUCCCUAAUGCUGCUGAGUAUGGAUCGGGAACCAAAUAUAUUCGUGAUCUGAAUGUUGAGUACCUUAACAUACAUCAUGAAAGGAUGUAGCUCUCAAUAUGCGUUAGUACUUGGAAUGUACAGAGAAUGCGAGAUAAGAAUAUAACUGAAAAAAUAUGUAAGUUGAACAAGGAAAACUGAGAAAUGACGCAUCUUAACAUAAUGUAAAUACUGAAAUACAUUGAAAUGAAUUGAUAUGAAUUUAAUGAGAUGUACUAAUUAUUAAAAUGCUUAGAUUGAAUACUAAUAUAUUGAAAACCUAGUGAAAUGCACUAGAGUCUGAUUGUGGGAGCUACUAUUAACCCACAUCAAAUAACAUAAGCUAAACUGGAGUCCGAUGAAUACUCCCCAUUGAGAGGAACUAAUAUACCUUUCCAUUCCAGAGUAUAAAGGCAUUACUCGUAUGAACGCUAAAUUUAAUGCCCAAUGAGGGAAUUCAUACUCCUACAGGAGCAUGUAGUUUUGAGACUAUUAGGGUACGUUGAACCCUAAUCUAACUCAAUACUAAGCCUACUCCAAAUUGGAAUGUGUAUGAAUCAGUAUAACUAAAUUAUUGAAAAUGAGAAUGUAAUAUUUAAGUACUGACAACAAACAUUCAAAAUCGGAGGCAUACUUAAUUGUUCAAUUGACCUAGCAAUUGUUAUUGAAAAACUAAGAGAAUCUACAAUUGCGUGGUUCUAAUGUUCAUGCAAAUAAUUAAUGAACAAUUUCAUGAAAAAACAUGAUAAUCUUAUUAGGAACAUUAUAAUAGCUAUAUCAUAAUAAUUCUUCAAGGUUUUAGAAACUCUAGAUCUAAACAAGAUAUCAAGGAUAAAGAAUCUGACUGAAUUCUAAGGAACUAGUGGAUGAAAGGAACGUACUAGUUCAAUCCAACAUAGAACUGAAGAAAACCUCCUACUUGUUCUUAAGAGGAAAUUAUCGAAUAUUCUCUUCUUUUGCUCUAAGUUUGAUUAACUUACGUAAAAAGUUUAAAUAUUGCAAAAGUUUAUUUUUAGUCAUAGAGUUUGUACAAAUGGCAUAUCCUGGGAGCACCCCCUUGACGUAACCGGCGUCGUCGUCCUCUUUGAGGACAAAGACUACCCUCUCAGCCUACAUCAUUAAAUUUAUAGGUUAAAAUGCGGAAAUUUGUGAAAAUAUUUAUUACUACUACAUGGAGGUUUACAUAGACCUCUACAUACACAUAAUAGGUAUAUCGAGCAUACAUAGACCCUUCAUAUAGGAAGAUUACUUAGUCUUCUAAUUUUAUUACACGUGUUUACAUACAUACAUAUAUAUAUAUAUAUAUAUAAAUAUGUAUGUGUGUAUGUAUAUAUAUAUAUAGAUAUAUAUAUAUAUAUAUAUAUAUAUAUAUAUAUAUACCAAUAGUUUCUCAUCUGAUAACCAUCUACCAAUAGUGUAAUAAUUUGGGAGUGGCUCAUAUAUCAAUAUAACAAGACCACGUAUAGGUCAUUGUAACGACAUGUUUGUCGUUUGAGCAGUAGAAUUUAUUUUUGGUAAUAGCUGUCUGGGUUAACGGAUCCCACGACGGACCGUCAUUGGUACGACGGACCAUCGAGGGGGUCUCGUUCCAAAACACUUAGACCCUGGAAAUUUGGUUACUGAGAUCGACUCUCUGAACUUCACGACGAAAUGGCAGGGACGGACCGUUGUUUGCACGACGGGCUGCCACAGAAUCUUUAAGGAAUUCGACUCUCUGAACUUUGUGACGGAAACAGCAGGACAGACCAUCGCAGGCACGACGGGCCAUAACGAGCUGCGUAACCCUAACACGGCCGGAUUUCUGUUAAAAGUUUUUACAGGGUGUUUCGGACUAUUCCUGCUUAUGAUUAUAAAGUUAGUGGUUUAAUAAUAAUAAUUCAAUUACUUGGGGGUUAAAGGAGAUAACCUUAAAAUAAAGAAUGGGUUACUUUUAACAUGUUUUAUACUUAAUUAUAUGGUAAUUAGGGUAAAACAAAGGGACUUUGAAAGAGGAGAAAAUUAAAAAAAGAAGAAGAGAGAACGAGCGAGAGGGAGAGAAGAAUGAAGAGAAACCAAAAAGCAUUGGAGAAGUAGAUUGCUUGAUUCACGAUUCCUUGGUGGAGGUAGGUUAUGGUUUAUGUUAUUUCAUAGUAAACUCUUCAUAGUGAAUGAUAUGUAUUGGGUAGUAUUGUAAAGUCUUCUAUAUGCUUAAUUGUGUGCUUGCAUGAUGUGAUUAUGUAAUUGUAAUGGAUUGGAAAGAUGAGGCUGUGAAUCUUAAACUUUAAAUUCCCUUUGUUAAUGAUGAUGCCUUGGUAUAAAAGAAGGCUUGAUGAACGAAAUUAAUGAGAUUAGGGGAUCGGGUGUCACGAACCUACACGUAGUAUUAGGGGAUCAGGUUUCACGAACCGACACGUAGUAUUAGGGGAUCAGAGUGUCACGUUCCGACACCAGGAUAAUAGGGGAUCGGAGUAUCACAUUCCGACACCGGGAUAGUAAAAUGAAUGAAUAUUGAGUGGAUCAAAGUGUCACGUUCUUAAACCAGGAUAAAAAGAGAAUGAAUCUUGAACUAUGCUAAUAUACUAAGAUUUAAAGAACUUAUUCCCCAAAUGAGUAUGGUAUAGAGGUUUGAGUCCUCAUAGAUGUGCUUGGGUUGCGGCCGAUGGUUAUGGUACUUGUUGUUGUCACCAGUUGAGUCUGGUAGUCGAUUUUAUGAUAUUAUCUGAUAUAUAUUGCUUUCUAUUUUGAGUUGGCCGAUAAUACCUACUCGGUACUUGUGCCUUGUACUGACCCAUACUUGUAAUUUUCCUCUUUGUUAUUUGUGCAGUGCAGCAAACGUGCCAUCGUCUUCAACUCGUCCUCAACUCUAGCCAGUCUUCAUCACGUCAGAUUUCAGGGUGAGCUAUUGUUCCUAGAUCGGACUGGAUUCUCUCUCAUUCAUGUCUUGAUGUCCUUGAAGUUCGGACAUGGACCAUCUGUUUAUUUAUUUUAGCUUCCAAGAUAUUCUUAGACUUAGUAAUUUGAGGAUAGAAUGUUCUUGUGGUGAUGACUUCCAGAUUUUGGGAAUGAUAAGUGUGGAGUUUUAGAAGUUAUUUAAUCGAUUUUCGUUAAUGAGUUUUAAGUCUUCCGCAUUAUAUUCUGUUUAUUAUGGUUGAAAUGUUGGGGUUUAGAUUUGUUGGUUCACUCUCAUAGGAUGGUAAGUGUGGGUGCUACUCGCGACUCAUUUUGGGUCGUGACAAACUUGGUAUUAGAGCAUUAGGUUCGUUGGUCUUAUCACACAAGAACGAGUCUAGUAGAAUUUUGAGGGACGGUAGAGGGACGCCUUUACUUUUCUUUUAGAGGCUACAAGACUUUAGGAAAACUCCAUUCUUUCUCUCUUUCGCGCUAUUACUUGGAUCCAAUUGGUAUCUAGGUGAUACAAAUUGGUAUCUGACCAUCUUCACUCUAUUUCGCAGAUGGUUAGAACUAGAACAACAACCGCGCCAACACCAAC
rnacentral:lncRNA from 1 species